AACGCACAUUGCGCCCCUUGGUAUUCCGAGGGGCAUGCCUGUUCGAGCGUCAUUUCAAACCCUCAAGCUUCUGCUUGGUGUUGGGCUCUCGUCCUGUCACAAGGACGUGCCCGAAACUCGUAGGCGGUGGCGCCCAGCUCCUUUGCGUAGUUAUACAUUUCGCUCUGGAUUAGUUGGGUACUGCUCGCCCUAUAACCUUUUAUUUUUUCUUAUGGUUUGACCUCGGAUCAGGUAGGGAUACCCGCUGAACUUAA
rnacentral:misc_RNA from 1 species